rnacentral:rRNA from 1 species
GAUGAACGCUGGCGGCGUGCCUGAUACAUGCAAGUCGAGCGAACGGACGAGAAGCUUGCUUCUCUGAUGUUAGCGGCGGACGGGUGAGUAACACGUGGAUAACCUACCUAUAAGACUGGGAUAACUUCGGGAAACCGGAGCUAAUACCGGAUAAUAUUUUGAACCGCAUGGUUCAAAAGUGAAAGACGGUCUUGCUGUCACUUAUAGAUGGAUCCGCGCUGCAUUAGCUAGUUGGUAAGGUAACGGCUUACCAAGGCAACGAUGCAUAGCCGACCUGAGAGGGUGAUCGGCCACACUGGAACUGAGACACGGUCCAGACUCCUACGGGAGGCAGCAGUAGGGAAUCUUCCGCAAUGGGCGAAAGCCUGACGGAGCAACGCCGCGUGAGUGAUGAAGGUCUUCGGAUCGUAAAACUCUGUUAUUAGGGAAGAACAUAUGUGUAAGUAACUGUGCACAUCUUGACGGUACCUAAUCAGAAAGCCACGGCUAACUACGUG